rfam:Zootermopsis nevadensis contig26525, whole genome shotgun sequence.
GCCACGGUGGUCUAGCGGUUAGAACGCUGGCCUUGUAAUCCUGGGGUCUCGGGUUCGAUUCUCGGCGGUGCCC